CCGGCCAACUACGUGACAGCAGCCGCGGUAAUACGUAGGGGGCAAGCGUUGUCCGGAUUUAUUGGGCGUAAGAGCUCGUAGGCGGCUUAGCAAGUCAGAUGUGAAACCCUCGGGCUUAACCCCGAGGCCGCCAUCUGAUACUGCUAUAGCUAGAGUUCGGUAGGGGACCAUGGAAUUCCUGGAGUAGCGGUGAAAUGCGCAGAUCUCAGGAGGAACACCAGCGGCGAAGGCGGUGGUCUAGGCCCGAUACUGAUGCUGAGGAGCGAAAGCGUGGGGAGCGAACAGGAUUAGAUACCCUGGUAGUCCACGCUGUAAACGUUGGGCACUAGGUGUGGGACCUUUCGACGGGUUCCGUGCCGUAGCUAACGCAUUAAGUGCCCCGCCUGGGGAGUACGGCCGCAAGGCUAAAACUCAAAGGUAUUGACGGGGGCCCGCACAAGCGGCGGAGCAUGCGGCUUAAUUCGAUGCAACGCGAAAAACCUCACCUGGGUUUGACAUGUAGGGAAAAGCUGCAGAGAUGCAGUGUCCUUCGGGGCCCUACACAGGUGGUGCAUGGCUGUCGUCAGCUCGUGUCGUGAGAUGUUGGGUUAAGUCCCGCAACGAGCGCAACCCUUGUCCUAUGUUGCCAGCGGGUAAUGCCGGGGACUCGUAGGAGACUGCCGGAGUUAAUUCGGAGGAAGGUGGGGACGACGUCAAGUCAUCAUGCCCCUUACAUCCAGGGCUGCACGCAUGCUACAAUGGCCGAUACAAAGGGUUGCCAACCCGCGAGGGGGAGCGAAUCCCAAAAAGUCGGUCUCAGUUCGGAUCGCAGUCUGCAGCUCGACUGCGUGAAGUUGGAGUCGCUAGUAAUCCCGAAUCAGCACGUCGGGGUGAAUACGUUCCCGGGCCUUGUACACACCGCCCGUCACACCACGAAAGUCGGCAACACCCGAAGCCGGUGGCCCAACCAGCAAUGGAGGGAGCCGUCGAAGGUGGGGUCGGUGAUUGGGGUGAAGUCGUAACAAGGUA
rnacentral:rRNA from 1 species